rnacentral:rRNA from 1 species
UUACGGUCAAAUCACGCUGAAAACACCGGUUCUUGUUCGAUCACCGAAGUUAAGCAUCGUAGAGCCAGGUCAGUACUUAGAUGGGGGACCGCUUGAGAACACUGGUACUGUAAG